rnacentral:lncRNA from 1 species
ACAUAUUAAACAUUGGUCUUGUGGUGGUGUAUUGGACCCACUUACUAAAUGUUGAGGGUUCAAAUUCUCACCCAAUUCAUUUUCCCCACUUAUCAAAGGUUGAGGGUUUGAAUCUUCAUCUGAUAUUUUUUUUGAAGGUGUCAGGCUAUCAGCUAGCUUAGUUGGUAUAGAUCCUGACAGUAUAUCGUAAGGUUCUGAGCUCAAAUCUCGCCUUAAGCACUUACCCUUUGCAACAAAUCAAUAUUACUAGUUCUUUUUAAUGUUUAACAAUUCUCGCAUACUAAUAUGGAACUUUGUGAUAAUUAAGUCCAUAUUUCAAAUAUUUUUGUAGACCAUCUGGAUAAUGCUUGUUAUUUGCUCAAAGUUUAAGUACAGCAUUAUAAGUGAUCCUGAUUCCAUAUUCUCCUAGAAUCAUGCUGAUUGAUUACUCAAAAAGACAACUCCUAAUGCAUUGUAUGGUUACCAGUUGAUUAUUAGAAGACCAAACAAACUUCCCUGUUGUAACACUUAAGGGAACCAUUUGGAUGAGAUUUAGCUGAAGAAGAUGAGCGUUGGUGCCAUAAUAAGGCUGUCUUUACCACCUGGUUGACCAGGUUUUUACCCUUGGAAACAACACCUCUACUUGGAGAGGUGAGGCUGCAUAUGCUGAGCUCUCUAGAUCUGGCGUUGCAGGAGUCCUGAGCAUUGUUUGCUCAUUUAUUUUUUAAGAAAACAUCUUAAACUAGUAUAUGAUUGCAAUUGAAUUAUGCAUUUGGAAUUUGGUGCUGGACAUAUUAAACAUUGGUCUGGUGGUGGUGUAUUGGACCAGCUUACUAAAGGUUGAGGGUUCAAAUUCUCACCCAAUAUAUUUUCCCCACUUAUCAAAGGUUGAGGGUUUGAAUCUUCGUCUGAUAUUUUUUUUGAAGGUGUCAGGCUAUCAGCUUGCUUAGCUGGUAAAGAUCCUGACCGUAUAUCGUAUGGUUCUGAGCUCAAAUCUCGCCUUAAACACUUAUCCUUUACAAGAAAUCAAUAUUACUAGUUCUUUUUAAUGUUUACCAAUUC